rnacentral:lncRNA from 1 species
CGAACAUAAAUUGGACAUACACAACGGAAGGAUGGUUACAGCCUUAGCCAGGAAGGUUUAUGAACAUAAUGUGGUCAUCAACUGGAAUCAUGCUAUGGUGGUUAAGCCAGUAUCGGAUUGCUUUGGGCUCAACGUCCUUGAGGCGAUUGAGAUUGAAAAAAGGAAACUACACUGUAAUAUUAUAAAUGACAAUCCACCUACUGAACUGCCGGAGUCCUGGAAAUGGUAUGCUCUACACGAUUUAUAAUACAUUGAUUAGUGCCCAAUUGGUGGUAUCCAUCUAUGAAUCUGAAGACGUUUAUUUACCCCUGUUGGACCUGCUAUACCAAAUAUCAUCCUAGCAUAAUUGGCAUCUUGUGUUCUAUAUGUGUUGCCUGUGGUUGUUGGAUGUAUAACUGUGUAGUCUCUUGUGAGCGCGAU